UCGAGAAUCUUCGGCAAUGAGCGAAAGCUUGACCGAGCGACGCCGCGUGUGGGAUGAAGGCCCUCGGGUUGUAAACCACUGUCGUAGGGGAGGAAGGCUCCGUGAAGAGCGGGGCUUGACCUAUCCUAGGAGGAAGUACGGGCUAAGUUCGUGCCAGCAGCCGCGGUAAGACGAACCGUACGAACGUUAUUCGGAAUUACUGGGCUUAAAGGGUUUGUAGGCGGCCUUGGAAGUCAGGUGUGAAAUCCCGCGGCUCAACCGAGGAAGGGCGCUUGAUACUGCAAGGCUGGAGGGAGACAGGGGUAAGCGGAACUGAUGGUGGAGCGGUGAAAUGCGUUGAUAUCAUCAGGAACACCGGUGGCGAAAGCGGCUUACUGGGUCUCUUCUGACGCUGAGGAACGAAAGCUAGGGGAGCGAACG
rnacentral:rRNA from 1 species